AGGCUCGUAGCCCAACUCGGCAGAGGCAACACGCUCAGACCGUGUCCAGUGUCGGUUCGAAUCCGACCGAGCCUACCA
rnacentral:tRNA from 1 species